AGAGUUUGAUCCUGGCUCAGGACGAACGCUGGCGGCACGCUUAACACAUGCAAGUCGAACGAGAGAAGAGGAGCUUGCUUUUCUGAUCUAGUGGCGGACGGGUGAGUAACACGUGAGCAAUCUGCCUUUCAGAGGGGGAUACCGAUUGGAAACGAUCGUUAAUACCGCAUAACAUAAUUGAACCGCAUGAUUUGAUUAUCAAAGAUUUAUCGCUGAAAGAUGAGCUCGCGUCUGAUUAGCUAGUUGGUAAGGUAACGGCUUACCAAGGCGACGAUCAGUAGCCGGACUGAGGGGUUGAUCGGCCACAUUGGGACUGAGACACGGCCCAGACUCCUACGGGAGGCAGCAGUGGGGAAUAUUGCACAAUGGAGGAAACUCUGAUGCAGCGAUGCCGCGUGAGGGAAGAAGGUUUUAGGAUUGUAAACCUCUGUCUUCAGGGACGAAAAAAGACGGUACCUGAGGAGGAAGCUCCGGCUAACUACGUGCCAGCAGCCGCGGUAAUACGUAGGGAGCGAGCGUUGUCCGGAAUUACUGGGUGUAAAGGGAGCGUAGGCGGGAUCGCAAGUCAGAUGUGAAAACUAUGGGCUUAACCCAUAAACUGCAUUUGAAACUGUGGUUCUUGAGUGAAGUAGAGGUAAGCGGAAUUCCUAGUGUAGCGGUGAAAUGCGUAGAUAUUAGGAGGAACAUCAGUGGCGAAGGCGGCUUACUGGGCUUUAACUGACGCUGAGGCUCGAAAGCGUGGGGAGCAAACAGGAUUAGAUACCCUGGUAGUCCACGCCGUAAACGAUGAUUACUAGGUGUGGGGGGACUGACCCCUUCCGUGCCGCAGCAAACGCAAUAAGUAAUCCACCUGGGGAGUACGACCGCAAGGCUGAAACUCAAAGGAAUUGACGGGGGCCCACACAAGCAGUGGAGUAUGUGGAUUAAUUCGAAGCAACGCGAAGAACCUUACCAGGUCUUGACAUCGUAUGCAUAGCUCAGAGAUGAGUGAAAUCUCUUCGGAGACAUAUAGACAGGUGGUGCAUGGUUGUCGUCAGCUCGUGUCGUGAGAUGUUGGGUUAAGUCCCGCAACGAGCGCAACCCUUACUGUUAGUUGCUACGCAAGAGCACUCUAGCAGGACUGCCGUUGACAAAACGGAGGAAGGUGGGGAUGACGUCAAAUCAUCAUGCCCCUUAUGACCUGGGCCUCACACGUACUACAAUGGCUGUCAACAGAGGGAAGCAAAGCCGCGAGGUGGAGCGAACCCCUAAAAGCAGUCUUAGUUCGGAUUGUAGGCUGCAACCCGCCUACAUGAAGUCGGAAUUGCUAGUAAUCGCAGAUCAGCAUGCUGCGGUGAAUACGUUCCCGGGCCUUGUACACACCGCCCGUCACGCCAUGGGAGUCGGUAACACCCGAAGCCUGUAGUCUAACCGCAAGGAGGACGCAGUCGAAGGUGGGAUUGAUGACUGGGGUGAAGUCGUAACAAGGUA
rnacentral:rRNA from 1 species